CAGAUAAUAGUGAAACUGUAAAUGUGGAUAUUGAGGAUGAGAGCAAUGAUAUACCGGUUCCAGAAGUGCCAGAACUUAGACGUUCUGCAAGACAUAGGGAACCACCUGACAGAUUAAACUAUAAGUCAUUAGGAAGUCCCUUAGUGCUAGUCAUGCAUUCCCUACUAAGUGGCUUAGACAAAGCAUUUUCUCAGGCCCUUGAACCAAAUGAUUUCCCUGAGCUUAGGUUGUUUGCUCCUGAUAAAUCAAUUAUUUUGUAGAUACACUACAUGCGAGGACGCAUGCAGGUUCAGGGGGGGAGGAGAUGUAAACCCUUUAAAUUGAACACUACUUUCAUGUGUAAUUUAAUUUGUGAAACAUUUUUGAUUUGUACAUUUUGAAAGAGACUCAUGUAAUUGGUGCAGUACCAUUCCCACCCACUAGGGGGCAGUUGACUUAAGUGUAUUGAGUGAACUGGCUGCCUUUAGUUCAGAUGAAGAAGCCAGCUGGACAUGCAUCCAUGAGGUCGGAGUGAUGUUCCAGAAAAAAUCACUUAAUCUUAAUAUUUUUUAUGUUAAAAUGUGUUAAUUCUCUACUUAAUGAUGUUAUAAAUCAUUCAGGUUGGAGAUGCAUCCCAGAUCUGAUGAAAGAUUUGAUUUUUUCGGUUGAUUUACCGUGUUUCUUUAUGAGAACUCUGAUUGGGUUUUAUGAGUGGAUUUUGAUUCUGCAUCGUGACCUACUUUUGAUUGGCGAGCCAGAGCCUUUUUGAUCUACACACGCGGAGUGAACCCACGCCCCCUUGUGGAUUUACGGGAUAUAACAGCUAAGCUGUGAUCUCACACACUUUGUACACACUACCCGGGUAGAAAAAUAUACAAAAAGGCCUUUACACACAUUCACAUUGAGAACUAUAUUUACACACAUGGAUACUUGAGAACUGUUUCAACACACAUGGAUAUCUGAGGACCGUAUAUAUACACAGGAUACAAGAGACUUUGGGACAUUUAAUUUUAUUUUUAUUUCCUCUUUAUUCUAUCUUGAGCUCAAUAUCAAGCACUUUCUCCCACUCUUAAUUGUGGUAUUAAGAGUAUCUGUUUAAAUUGUGGGAAUAGUUAUUUCUAAAGUUUUUCUGAAUUUUCAAUUAAAAUGCCGGCUGUUAAAUUUAAUUUAUAA